rnacentral:lncRNA from 1 species
CCGGCCUCCCGGGACCCGGCACCUCUAGCCAGGGACGCGCGCUCGGUCCCCCGCCGUGCGCCCCCGGUCCCGCGCCCAGGCUCCCGCCCCUGGCCUCCUUACCAGCCACUUGUCGCCCAGCUGCGAACUGGAGCGGGAGGCGGCGGCCGGAGGGCCCAGGACAGCCCCGGGAGGGCGGCGAGGCGGAGCAGGAGCGCCCCGGCUCCGGCCACAUUCUCAGAGUCAGGAAAAGGGGCGAGAGGCCACAUGUCUCCCUCUCGCCCAACUGAAAACGAAACGGCGCUCCAGCAGAUUGGGUGGAAAGAGCUGGGUCUCUUUUCUCUGUUUUUCACGCUAGAAAGGGCUUGUAAACAUUGUUCCUUUUAAAAUGACCUACCCCAGGCAUUUGUUUGGGCACACUUCUGUCCUGGGGUCAUCGUUCCUAGGUGGCUUCGGACCUGGGACUUUUCCUGUAUCUGCACAUUGUCGUUUUAUACACAAUUGCCAAGGUGGGACUGCUUUCAACUUUACUGUGCUUGAAGCUGCAAAGGUUCUGCCCUGAUGUUUCCUGGAAUAAUGCUGAGGACUGCCUUUCGGGUAGCCGCCCUAUUCAGUUCACUUCAUCUCGGAAAUACCUGACCCCUGCCUUGGAUCCAGCGGCCCUCCUGAGAGCUGAGGAAGGAGGAAAUCCUAUGUGUCUGCUCCCGGAGCUGCCACAACCCAUCUUCCCACAACUCGGAACUUGGAAAAAGGAACCCAGGACACGACUUUGCUUUUCUUUUGGACCUAGUUGGUGAUUAUACUCUGUCUCCCAUGGAGACCACGUCUUGCAUCCUUCCUUCUAUAUGGGAUUUAGGAUAGAAAUUAAAAAGAAAACAUAUUAUUUUGAGUCUUGAUUUGGAGAAAGAAGUCACAGCUUGGAGGAAACCAGUUUGCACUAUUUGAUGAGGAAUUUGGCCACCAAACCACUGAUACUUUCCCAAAGGUUUGGCAGAAAUUGUUUUUUGAGUGGCUCACCAGAGUACCCAGAAGAAUCAGUAUGGAAUUAGAGGACAGUGGCCUACCCUAAAUAAAG